UUUCAUUUGCAAAAUCAAUGCAAUGUAUUAGCACCUGCAAUAGUUACUUUUUGCUUUCUAGCUUUUACUGAGUUCUUGAUUUCAGUUUCAUGUGUCCUUAGUAAAUAAAAUGUGCUUUGUUUCAUAAACGUAAAGAUUGUUUUACAUCCACAAUUGGCUUAAGGAUUUUAAUUUAUUUCACUUUUAUUACAGCCUGGCUUUGAUUGAUUUAGAGGGUUGGUCAAUUACAGACCAAGUCAUUACUUCAAUCAAAAGCUUGAGGAAACUUGACACAACCUAAACUCGCUUCAGUUCACCAAUUAACUGGAAUCCUUUCUCCGAAUGUUAUUCUAAAGUAGUCCAAAGAAAUUUAAAUCCAGUCCAUUUGAGUCAGUGUUUUCAAAUUUAUCUUCCAACACAAACAAAGGUAAAAACCAUGAUCAAAGAUUCUUUAAGAUAUGCUUGGAUUUCCUAAGUUCUGAUCAUAAGCAGCAAUCUGAAUUUAGCUAGGAAAUCAGUAGUCACCACAGACCCCACUGUGGUCAUAGCUGAGCACUCUCACUGAAUGGAAAAAGUUCAAAAGGUAACAGUCUUUCUUUACUUUUUUCUUAAUUCACCUCUGACAGCACUACCACCUCCCAUUGUCAGGUGCCCAGGGAGGAGACACUCCAAGACAGUGGUCUUUUAGCCACUCUCUUCUCCUUAAAAAACAACCAUAUAUCUUCCAUAUAACAGUGGCCUCUUAAUUUGAGACUUGUCAUGUAUUUGCAUUUCCAGAGUGAAACAAACAAAAAAAAUGACAUGUGAAAGUCAGGCCCAUAGUAUUAAGGUUUCUACAGCAAAGACGUUUUGGCCAAUGCUUGAGACCAUUCUGAUCUUUGAAGUUAUGUGAGGAUUGUUUGUACUUGUGUUUUGAAGUAAGCCAGGGAAUGCAUAAAGCAACUUUUCUCAGUCUCUUUUUUUGUUGCAACACACAACUUGGAGGAUGAUUACAUGUGUAAGAUACUUCUGACUUUUGCCAAACAUCAAUAAGGAAUUUCCAUUCAGGAAAGGCUCUGCCCCCUUCUCUCCCCUCAUGAUGGGGAUCUUAAUGCAACUGAAUGGAGUGACAUUAGUCUACGGAUAGCUUCAAAGACAAUAUAACUCAUACUUAAGCAAAAAGUGAUUCCUAAAUAUUGGUACUUUAUUAUUGGUUAAACAUUCCUUGGGCCAUCAUGUCUAAGAACCACUGAUGUUGAGGCUUGCACUCUCUUGCUUGAAAGGAAGUGCCCCAAAACCUGGGAAAGGGCUUCCAAAGAAGGAGAGAGAAUCAACACUCCUGUUCAUGGAUGUUCAGCCCCAGAUACUCCACAACCAUGAAGAGCUUGAGCUUUCUGGCAUUACACAGUUCUGAUACCUGGUGGCCGGGCAUGUGUGGUACGGCAGGCCGAGUGUGACAGUGAGAAGUGGUGCUACCCUGCUCCAGCUGGAUGGGGCCAGAUCUUCCUGUAACUCAAGAGAUGCUGAAAAUCAAGGAAAGCCUGUCCAGAUCCAAGGGGUAGCAUUUGAGAUCUCCUGUUCAGACCCAUUCCUGAGGAUGAGAGGUGGAGAGGGGAGAGCGCAGAGACCAGAGUCGACCUGCAGGGACUACUGGGAAGAGGACCCACAUCUGUGAUCUGAUCACUAGAAGGCGGCUUUGCACCUACCCAGGUACCCCUACCCUCUCAACACCCCUCACCCCCGCCGGUUCAGUGACUUUGCAUUUGGCCACUGAACAGGUAUCCCUGAAUGAAAUAUUUUUAAACUAGAAAAUGACCCCUUCCCAGGAAGGAGGUAGUCAGGGCCUCAGUUAGAUCUUAGCUAACUCCUGGGAUCCCUAGUACACGCCACAGAUGCUCAUUACGAUUCUUUUUACGUGCAACAUGUGGGGGACGAAGCAGUUUCAUAUCUCCUGGCAUUAUCUGCCGUCCAAAGCAUUU